rnacentral:rRNA from 1 species
UCCCAGACUCCUACGGGAGGCAGCAGUGAGGAAUAUUGGUCAAUGGGCUUACGCCUGAACCAGCCAAGUCGCGUGAGGGAAGACUGCCCUAUGGGUUGUAAACCUCUUUUGUCAGGGAGCAAUUGGCGCUACGUGUAGCGUUAUCGAGAGUACCUGAAGAAAAAGCAUCGGCUAACUCCGUGCCAGCAGCCGCGGUAAUACGGAGGAUGCGAGCGUUAUCCGGAUUUAUUGGGUUUAAAGGGUGCGCAGGCGGCACGGCACGCCGGCGGUCAAAUCGCGGGGCUCACCCCCGCCCAGCCGUCGGAACUGCCGGGCUAGAGUGGGCGAGAAGUGCGCGGAAUGCGUGGUGUAGCGGUGAAAUGCAUAGAUAUCACGCAGAACUCCGAUUGCGAAGGCAGCGCACCGGCGCCCUACUGACGCUCAGGCACGAAAGCGUGGGUAUCGAACAGGAUUAGAUACCCGUGUA